GGCCCAAGGCGCAAAAUCAUAACGGUCCAACGAAAGCCAUUAUCACAGCCUCCAAACGGAUAGUCGUUUAUUCCCGUCUUUUCUACGCGUAAUUCACCUUUUUUGAGGAUUUGAUGGCAGAAAAUGGAUUGAAGUAAAAGGACAUUAUGAUAGAGAUAGUAAAAUGUGCUCGAGUUGCAAAGCCAGAAAAGAAAGAAGUUUGAGGUAUAAGGAAUGUAUCAAUGCGUAAAGUUAUUCACUAAUCACUGUACUUACAUCUAAAGCGCCUAUGCUUUAUAAACUGUUACUUGAAGCACAAAAUUGAAUAACUUAGCUUAGUAAAAACCUAGUAAUCAGUCUUGCACCUAAAAUUUGUCCAGAUAUUUAUUUUGAAUAUCUAAUGUUACUGUAGUUGGUUUUUGUCCGUAUAUUCUGAUCACAGUAAACCCUGCAUAUGAAGAACCUAGUUACCUUUUCAAGCUAGCCUACCAGGUUCAAAUUUAAAUGGUGCAUAUAGAGGCAUUAGGCUUCUAGCUUCUUAUCUGAAUAUACAAAGAUGGAGGAGGAGGCAGUUCUUUUGGAAAACCGUAAUGACGCCAAAAAGGGUAAUGUUCAAAAGCUGUUAAAGUUGUUAUA